CGCGUAGGCGGUCCGGUAAGUCCGCUCUGAAAGUCCGGGGCUCAACCCCGGGAGGCGGGCGGAUACUGCCGGGCUAGAGUCCGGAAGAGGCGAGUGGAAUUCCUGGUGUAGCGGUGAAAUGCGCAGAUAUCAGGAGGAACACCAAUGGCGAAGGCAGCUCGCUGGGACGGUACUGACGCUGAGGCGCGAAAGCGUGGGGAGCAAAC
rnacentral:rRNA from 1 species